rnacentral:SRP_RNA from 1 species
CCGUUUUUAGGGUACUGUAAGAGGAGAGACUCGAAUGGAACAGGCCGGUUUUCUUCCGGUCCUGUCGCUUGGCGUAAUCGGGUCCUGCGCGGCAGACGUCUAUGAACCCCGCUAGGUCCGUGAGGAAGCAACGGUAAGUGGACCUCUCUGGGUGCCGUAGGGUUGCCUGGUUGCGCCAAGCGGCAGGACUGGGCGAAAAUCGG